AUUGAACGCUGGCGGCAGGCCUAACACAUGCAAGUCGAGCGGUUGAAGGGAGCUUGCUCCUGGAUUCAGCGGCGGACGGGUGAGUAAUGCCUAGGAAUCUGCCUGGUAGUGGGGGAUAACGUCCGGAAACGGGCGCUAAUACCGCAUACGUCCUGAGGGAGAAAGUGGGGGAUCUUCGGACCUCACGCUAUCAGAUGAGCCUAGGUCGGAUUAGCUAGUUGGUGGGGUAAAGGCCUACCAAGGCGACGAUCCGUAACUGGUCUGAGAGGAUGAUCAGUCACACUGGAACUGAGACACGGUCCAGACUCCUACGGGAGGCAGCAGUGGGGAAUAUUGGACAAUGGGCGAAAGCCUGAUCCAGCCAUGCCGCGUGUGUGAAGAAGGUCUUCGGAUUGUAAAGCACUUUAAGUUGGGAGGAAGGGCAGUAAGUUAAUACCUUGCUGUUUUGACGUUACCAACACAAUAAGCACCGGCUAACUUCGUG
rnacentral:rRNA from 1 species